UAACGCGUGAGGAACCUGCCUUCCAGAGGGGGACAACAGUUGGAAACGACUGCUAAUACCGCAUGAUAUAUCGAAGCCGCAUGGGUUUUGAUAUCAAAGAUUUAUCGCUGGAAGAUGGCCUCGCGUCUGAUUAGCUAGUUGGUGAGGUAACGGCCCACCAAGGCGACGAUCAGUAGCCGGACUGAGAGGUUGGCCGGCCACAUUGGGACUGAGAUACGGCCCAGACUCCUACGGAAGGCAGCAG
rnacentral:rRNA from 1 species